rnacentral:rRNA from 1 species
CUACGGGGGGCUGCAGUGGGGAAUAUUGGGCAAUGGGCGCAAGCCUGACCCAGCAACGCCGCGUGAGGGAAGAAGGUUUUCGGAUUGUAAACCUCUGUCCUUGGGGACGAAGAAGUGACGGUACCCAAGGAGGAAGCUCCGGCUAACUACGUGCCAGCAGCCGCGGUAAUACGUAGGGAGCAAGCGUUGUCCGGAAUUACUGGGCGUAAAGGGUGCGUAGGCGGCAUAUUAAGUCAGGUGUGAAAUACUCGGGCUCAACCCGGGGGCUGCAUUUGAAACUGAUAUGCUUGAGUGUGAGAGAGGAAAGUGGAAUUCCUAGUGUAGCGGUGGAAUGCGUAGAUAUUAGGAGGAACACCAGUGGCGAAGGCGACUUUCUGGCUCAUAACUGACGCUGAGGCACGAAAGCGUGGGGAGCAAACAGGAUUAGAUACCCCCGUAGUC